rnacentral:rRNA from 1 species
CGGAGGGAUCAUUAAAGAGUUCUAUAACUCCCAAACCCAUGUGAACAUACCUAACGUUGCCUCGGCAGGUCGCACCUACCUUGUAGCACCCUACCCUGUAGGGCCUACCCGGGAGGUGCGGGUAAGCCUGCCGGCGGCCCACCAAACUCUGUUUGAUAUUGAAUUCUGAACCUAUAACUAAAUAAGUUAAAACUUUCAACAACGGAUCUCUUGGUUCUGGCAUCGAUGAAGAACGCAGCGAAAUGCGAUAAGUAAUGUGAAUUGCAGAAUUCAGUGAAUCAUCGAAUCUUUGAACGCAUAUUGCGCCCAUUAGUAUUCUAGUGGGCAGGACCGUUCGAGCGUCAUUUCAACCCUUAAGCCUUCGUUGCUUAGUGUUGGGAGCCUACGGCAACGUAGCUCCUCAAAGUUAGUGGCGGAGUUGGUUCACACUCUAGACGUAGUAAUUUUUUAUCUCGCCUAUUAGUUGGACUAAUCCCCUGCCGUAAAACCCCCAAUUUAUAUCAAGGUUGACCUCGAAUCGGUUCAGACAAACUCGCUAAAUUGAAGCAUCUUAGUCAGCGAAGGAAAAGAAACCAACAGGGAUUGCCCUAGUAACGGCGAGUGAAGCGGCAACAGCUCAAAUUUGAAAUCUGGCCCUCGG